CCUACGGGGGGCUGCAGUGGGGAAUAUUGGACAAUGGGCGAAAGCCUGAUCCAGCCAUGCCGCGUGUGUGAAGAAGGCCUUCGGGUUGUAAAGCACUUUCAGUGGGGAAGAAAGCCUUGGGGCUAAUACCCUCGAGGAAGGACAUCACCCACAGAAGAAGCACCGGCUAACUCCGUGCCAGCAGCCGCGGUAAUACGGAGGGUGCGAGCGUUAAUCGGAAUUACUGGGCGUAAAGCGCGCGUAGGCGGUCUGAUAAGCCGGUUGUGAAAGCCCCGGGCUCAACCUGGGAACGGCAUCCGGAACUGGCAGGCUAGAGUGCAGGAGAGGAAGGUAGAAUUCCCGGUGUAGCGGUGAAAUGCGUAGAGAUCGGGAGGAAUACCAGUGGCGAAGGCGGCCUUCUGGACUGACACUGACGCUGAGGUGCGAAAGCGUGGGUAGCAAACAGGAUUAGAUACCCCAGUAGUC
rnacentral:rRNA from 1 species